GGGUUCUUCUCUCUUCUUCUUUUAAAAAAAUGAAAAUAAUUAUUUUAAAAAUGUAGAUAUGUAAAUAUACCAAAACUGAAUACAUUAAAGGUGUCUUAAAGUAAAAAAAAGUCUCUCUCGCUCUGUCUCUCUGUCUUGCUAUCUCUCUCUCUCUCAGGAUUGUGGGUAGUGGGAGGAGUCGAGAGUUUUGCGGCACACUUUUGAGAGUUUGUUACUUUUAAUCAAUUUCUUAGUUCUUUUUUAAGAUUCAUGUAAAAAAAAAAAAAAAAAAAAAAAAAAAGAUUAAUCUUAGACAUAAAACUUCUUUGAGCGCCGACUUCGGUCGGAAAACUUUGACAAAUGGGGUGAAGGGGAGAUUUCUCACGCUUGACUCUGAGACAUGGAUUUAAAUGUACACCUGAUGACUCCGUAUCUGUGGAAGAUGUGCUGGUUGCAGUCAGUGAACAGAUGGACUGCCGCAUCUUGGACAUGAAGAUAAAGCAGAGCUGGAGAAACCUUUGUCCUUUCAGGAGUUAACGGAAGCUGUCCAGCAGCAAUCUUCGGGAAAAUCACCAGGAUUGGAUGGCUUGACUUCUGAAAUUUAUAAAGCCUUCUGGUCCCUCAUUGGUCAGGAUUUGUAUGAGGUGUUUCUCGAAAGCUUUGAGUCAAAUAUCCUACCCAUCAGUUGUAGAAGAGCUGUAGUGACUCUUUUACCCAAGAAAGGAGAUCUUGGUUUAUUGAAGAACUGGCGACCGGUCUCUCUUUUAGGAACUGAUUAUAAAAUAUUGUCUAAAACUCUGACAAAUCAUCUUAAAAAAUCUAUAGCGUCCAUCAUCCAUGAAGAUCAGUCCUACUGUGUACCCUAGCGAUCUAUAUUUCACAAUCUUUUUUUGUGCGGGACAUGGUGUACUUAACGGAACUGCAUACAUUAGAUCUUGGUCUUCUGUGUUUGGACCAAGAAAAAGCCUUUGAUAAAUUUGACCAUGAAUACCUGUUCAAAAUACUUGAAAGAUUUGGCUUUGGGAAUCAGUUUAUUUCAUGGAUAAGGCUUCUUUAUAAAGAUGUCUAUAGUAUGCUGAAAAUAAAUGGAAUUUUGACCAGACCUUCUUCUGUAGGUAGAGGUGUGACACAAGGGUGUAGUUUGUCUGGUCUCUUGUACACGAUUUCCAUUGAGUCAAUGUUGAGGAUUCUGAGAGAGAAGCUGCAAGGAUUUACAGUUCCAACAUCUCACCUUUCAAACACAGCAGUGGUGAAACUCACCGCGUAUACAGAUGACAUCCCAGUGAUCAUUAGAUCUGAAGAUGAUGUUAAACGUCUUACCUCAUGCCUCAACAUCUUUUAGAGUGCUUCUUCCGCACGGAUCAAUUGGGGGAAAAACUGACACUUUAUUGUUAGGCCAUUGGUCACACCAAAAUCCACCUCAGCUUCCACAUCAGCACCCUUGGAAUAAAGAGGGGGUUAAGAUACUGGGGCUGUUGUUUGGGACUGAACAGCACAUGAACAAGAAUUGGGAAGGACUUGUAGAAAAAGUGACAGGCAAGCUCCAGAGAUGGAAGUGGAUUCAAGCCCAGCUUUCCUACAGAGGCAGGGUGCUGGUGGUGAAUAAUCUAGCCACCUCAAUGCUGUGGCAUCGUCUAACCAUGUUGGACCCUCAGAAAGAGCUUUUGUCACAACUUCAAAAAGCCUUUGUAGACUUCUUUUGGGGUGGUCAUCAUUGGCUUCCCCCCUGGGGUACUGUGUCUCCCUACAAUUGAUAGCGGUCAGGGAUUAAUUCAUUUUGCCUCUAAGGUGAAAUCCAUGAGGUUGCAGACUGCCCAAAAACUGCUUUACUCGUCGGACUCUCUACCAUGGAUUAGCUUUGGCCUUGCCAUUGUACGUGGAAAAAAACAAGAUGGAUUUUGAUAAACAAAUGUUUCUGAUUUCGGGAAAUGUGGUAAAAGACAUGUUUAAGAUAAGGUUUUAUGAAUCGGUUCUUGAAGCUUGGGGUUACUUUAAGUCGGAGCGGAAAGAACAUUUUGGUUUUGAUGAACCACUUCUGCACAGUCCUUGGUUUUCUAAAAAAAUGCAUUAUAUCCAACACCGAAAUUUCUAACUUUGUUUUAGCUGGGAUAACUAAAGUUGGAAACCUGUUUGACUUGUUGAAUAGAGAAUGUUUUUCAGUACAGAAUCUAACUAGAAAAAUUACUGGUAGAUCAUAGAGAAUAGUCGGGAACAUAUUAAAGGAUUUGAAAACAUCUUUUCCUGCAUGUUUGUGGGAUAAUAUAUAACCAAGUUUAUGUCCGGUGGUAACACAAAGGUCUUUUUUUCCAGAAGUGUACAUAACUCCACAGGUAGCUCAAAUUAACAAUGGAGACAAUGUAAACAUGUUGUUAUCCUUUAAAGGCUUGCAAAGUCUUCCGUUUUCCAUGGUGAACAAACAAAAUGCAUAUAUUUCCUGUGUAAAGUCCGACUUUGUCAGACAUCUAAGGGGGAGGAGGCAUACAAAAUGGAGGACUCAUUUCUUGAAGUCGGGAGAUAAUGAACCUUCAUGGCGGUUAUUGUAUAAGAACCCUCUACCAAAAAAAGUCUGGUGACUUACAGUGGCAGAUUUUACAUUGUGCAUUACCAACAAAAGUGUUUUUGUUUAAAUGUAAAUAUGCACCGUCUCCACUGUGUACUUUGUGUGAUGAACUCGAUACUGUGUUUCAUGUCUUUUGUGAAUGUUGUAAACUAUCUCCGCUCUUUAAUCUAUUGUAUACAAUGUUUCGUAGUUUGGGGAUCAUUUUCUUGAAAACAGGGUUUAUUUAUGGGGGUAGAUAUUCUCGCCACAGGCAGGAAAUCUGUACCUAUUCGAAUUUUUUGGUCGGUCAAGCAAAAUUAGCCAUUUGGAAGGCUGACAAAAUGGGAUCAGAAGGGAAAGAAGUAAACAUGGUUAAAUUAUUUAAGGCCUUGGUUGAGUCUAGGAUUAGAUUAAAGUAUGAAUUUUACCAAAUGAAUGGUGAUCUUCCGAUGUUUGAGAAGAAAUGGUGUGUAAACAAAGGGGUGACUUAUAAGAGGCGAGAAUCUCUUUUUCAAUUGGUAAUGGUUGUUAAAACAAUGUGUUCUGUAUGUUAAGGUUUUUUAAUUGUAGAAUAAAUUAUAUUUUAAAAGUCAAAGUCUCUCUCUCUCUCCCCCUGCAGAUGUGUUGUUAUCUCUAGCAUCCCUGCUGGUGCCUCUGCAAAUUACACCUGCAACAUGAGGGGUCGUUAUGUGAACAUCAUCAUUCCCAAUGUUAUCCAGGCUCUCACGCUCUGUGAAGUGGAAGUCUAUGGGGUUCCAGGCUACACUUUUAUAUCCAGUUCACAAUUUCAUAUACAUUUGAAGUCAAAUUAAGUUUUACAACAGCUACUAAAUAUCAACAUUGCUAAUUUUUUUUAGUGCCUGUUACUAAGAGGGCAUUUCUGAGAUUGAAGUUUAACAUCAGUGAGUAUCUUAUGAACCCUACUGUGAGGGACAAAAUUAUUCAAAAGGUUUGUGUUCAUGACAUGUAUGGUAGAUUCAUAAAUAAAUAAAUAAAUAAUACUAAUUUUUCAUCAUAGACGAUAUCUACCAAUGCCCAGCCUUCAGUGCGUCAGAUCUGUUGGACUACAGAACCAGAGGUGGAAAAUGAAACUUAAAAAACGGUGGCAGAAAUAUAUCUGAAACAACAAGAAGAAGAAGCGGAAGAAGAAGAAGAAGUGUUCAAAGAACAAAAAGAAAGAAAAAACAUCAAAUGUGUGAGGUUUGGGUUUAGCACUUGAAAAUGCUAGCUAACUGAUGUUAUAGGUUUAUUAAUUAGAAGUACUAGAAGUUUUUUAGUUUGUUUGUUUGGGAAAUGUAUCCAUGAAAAAUUAUUACCACAGGGUUUGUACAAGGUGCUUGAAUUUGGCAUUUGGAAAUUUAAGUACUGGAAAACCUUGAAAAUAGCCAAUAUUUUUUUUAAUGUUAAAAAAGUGGUUAAAAAGUGC